GACGAAGGAUGCAAGCGUUAUCCGGAUUCAUUGGGUUUAAAGGGUGCGUAGGCGGCCACAUAAGUCAGUGGUGAAAUCUCCUUGCUUAACAAGGAAACUGCCAUUGAUACUGUUUGGCUUGAGUAUAGUUGCUGUGGGCGGAAUAUGACAUGUAGUGGUGAAAUACAUAGAGAUGUCAUAGAACACCGAUUGCGAAGGCAGCUCACAAAACUAUAACUGACGCUGAGGCACGAAAGUGCGGGGAUCAAACAGG
rnacentral:rRNA from 1 species